rnacentral:misc_RNA from 1 species
GAUGAAGAACGCAGCGAAAUGCGAUAAGUAAUGUGAAUUGCAGAAUUCAGUGAAUCAUCGAAUCUUUGAACGCACAUUGCGCCCCCUGGAAUUCCGGGGGGCAUGCCUGUUCGAGCGUCUCAGGGACGAACCCUCGCGCGGGUGUACGCGCGGUCGUGGCUGCGGUGGCGUGCCCGAGGCGGCGGCCACCGCGCUGGAAUCCAUGGGCGGACGCCUGCCGCGUGGCCGAGCGUGAUAUGACGCAUUGGCGCUCGCACGCGGCGAGGCUGCCAGCCCUGGCCCGUCUGUCGGGCGGGGGAGAGCAAGACACGUGAACUCCUCGAAUCAGGUAGCGAUACCCGCUGAACUUAAGCAUAUCAAUAAGCGGAGGA